rnacentral:lncRNA from 1 species
GAGCCACGCCCCCUGGCUGAACCGUUGUCCAAUGAGAAGCCGAGGUCUCCAGGUGGCCGAGGCCGUCGUCCAAUCAGGAUCUUCGGCACCCACGACGGCCGAGCCCCUCGUCCAAUGGCAAGGAGCCGCCCCAAGGGGCCAUCCAAUCAGCUGGCUGCCCAAAUCCAUCGGCCAAUCACAAGGGGCAGCGUUCCAGUUGGCCAAACCCAUCAGCCAAUCACAAGCCACGGCGUUGCAGGUCGCCAAACCCAUCGGCCAAUGACGGUUGGCCAAACCCCGCAGUCAACGUCUGAUUGGCCGAACCAUGAGCCAGCGGUGAGCCACGGCGUUCUGAUUGGCUAAACCCAUCAGUCGAUGACCAAUCGCGGCGCUCCAGUUGGCCAAAACCCAUCGCCCAAUGUUCUGUUGGCCAAAUCCAUCAACCGAUGUCCAACCACAGCAUCCCAGUUGGCUGAACCCAUCAACCAGUGACGAAUGAUGGCAUUCCAGUUGGCCAAACCCAUUGGACAAUGUUCCGUUGGCCAAACCCUUCAGUCAAUCACAAGCCACGGCGUACCAGUUGGCCAAAUCCAUCGGUCGAUGGCCAACCACAGCGUCCCAGUUGGCCAAACCCAUUGCCCAAUGUCCAGUUGACCAAACCUUUCAGUCCAUGACCAACCACAGUGUCCCAGUUGGCCAAACCCAUCAACCAAUAACCAAUCACGGCGUUCCAGUUGGCCAAACCCAUUAGCCAAUGGCAAACGAUGGCAUUCCCGAUGGUCAAAUCCACUGGCCGAUGUCCAGUUGGCCAAACCCAUCAACCAAUGACGAUCAAUGGUGUUCCAGUUGGCCAAACCCAUCGCCCAAUGUUCCAGUUGGCCAAACCCUUCAAUUGAUGGCCAACCACAGCAUCCCACUUGACCAAACCCAUCAACUAAUGACAAAUGACGGCGUUCCAGUUGGCCAAACCCAUCAACCAAUGACAACUAAUGGUACUCCACUUGGCCAAAUCCAUCGCCCAAUGUUCUGUUGGCCAAACCCAUCAACUGAUGGCCAACCACAGCGUCCCAGUUGGCCGCCCCCACCAGCCAACAUCCAGUUGGCCACGCCAUCAUCCUGCCGACCAAGCACCGCUCUCCAGUUGCCCGAGCCCACCCCCCAGCGGCCCCCCUCACCCUGAUGUCACCGCCCCGAAGCCGGGCCGUCCCCCGGCAGCACCGAACCCCGGCUGCCGAGAGCGCGGGCGCCCACCCUGAGCGGUGCCGGGGCACGAUGGAGGGGGGUGGGCCGGGCGCCCGCCGCGCAACUCAAUGCACCAAGACCUUGAU